AAGUCGUAACAAGGUUUCCGUAGGUGAACCUGCGGAAGGAUCAUUAAAGAAUCGCCCCGUUUUUUGAAAUGGGUUCUAUUCCCAAACCGUGUAUACACAUACCUUUGUUGCUUUGGCAGGCCGCCUUUUAGGCGUCGGCUUCGGCUGACUGCGCCUGCCAGAGGACCCAAACUCGUUUGUUUAGUGAUGUCUGAGUACUAUAUAAUAGUUAAAACUUUCAACAACGGAUCUCUUGGUUCUGGCAUCGAUGAAGAACGCAGCGAAAUGCGAUAAGUAAUGUGAAUUGCAGAAUUCAGUGAAUCAUCGAAUCUUUGAACGCACAUUGCGCCCCUUGGUAUUCCGAGGGGCAUGCCUGUUCGAGCGUCAUUAUAACCACUCAAGCCUCGGCUUGGUCUUGGGGUUCGCGGUUCCGCGGCCCUUAAAAUCAGUGGCGGUGCCGUCUGGCUCUAAGCGUAGUAAUUCUCUCGCUAUAGGGUCCCGGCGGCUACCUGUCAAAACCCCCCCCAUUUUUUAUGGUUGACCUCGGAUCAGGUAGGGAUACCCGCUGAACUUAA
rnacentral:rRNA from 1 species